rnacentral:tRNA from 1 species
GACGAUUUAGGUCAAUGGUAGAGCACAUGCUUAGCAUGCACGAGGUCCUGGGUUCAAUCCCCAGUACCUCCA